AGGCCGCGCGGCGUCGGGAGCGGAAGGCCGAGGCCGGCGGCCGAAGAGCCCCCUGAGGCAGGCGCACCCCGUCAGCUCCGCCGGGUCGCGGGGAGCAGGUCGCGGGUCGCGGGUCCCUCUGCCGCGCGGGGGUCACGUCUUGCCCGUAACAAGUGUUUGCACACAGGCUCAGAGAAAGUUCAGAGCGCACAUCACAAGUACCUCUGAUACAGGUGAUCGCUACACUGAAUUUUGUGUUUAUCGAAUCCUUUUAAGAAUAGCGUCAUCACAACAAAACAUGUUACUUAGAUUUGGUUGCUCCUGAGUUUUACAAAAACGCUCGUAGGUGCCCAGCUGAGGUGGAAUGGACAUUCCUUUGUGCGGGGAAGGCUCAUGCAGAGGCCUCUCCUGACCUGUACGUGUGGGGGCAAAGCCAUUCCGAAGCAAGAGAACCACUGCUUACUAACCACAGAUGUCUGGGAAUGCUCCAGCAGCAGCGAGCAGCUACAAACCUCACCUAUGAUCUUUAUUGAAAUUAAAUUUUUGUGGUCUCUUCUCACACAAUCCUUUUCCCAAAACCAAUUUACAUAAUUUGGUAUAAUUUGAAAUGAUUGACAUGGGUUGCUAAUUGUUGGGGUAGAAACUAGACCCUCACAGUAGCUAAGUCUCGAAGGCAAAGGUUAGAAUCCAGCAACCGGUAGUGUGGGUCGAAUUGAUAUUAGUUUAAUAAUCUGUAAACUAUGCAAGAAAAUGUAAUUGUCCUACAUUACAAGGGUAGUCCUUCCACUGCACAGUUUAUUCAAAUGUAUAAUCUAAAUAAUUGAGUACCUCUGCCUACAAUAGAGCAUUUCCUCAUAUGCAAACACCAUUUAAUAGACAGUUAAAUCCAAACAGAUGGAUAAAAGAUGCCAGAACAUAAUUGGUUUGCUUUUGAUUAUUUCAUUGAUACCAAUUUACUUAAAGAGCAAGUCUGGACAUGGUAGGAUUUAUUGUCACAGAAUAUUCGGUUUGACAGAGAGGAGUUAAGGGAUUCAGUGAUCCUCGUUCAGCCUCCACACGUGAAAGCUUGGGGAGAAAUGAAAUCUUGACCAAAUGUUUGGCUUUGUCUUUGCUUAGAGCUAACAACACAAACCUUUGAUAAAAACUAAAGUCUUCUUGUUACUUGAGAUCUUCUUAAUGGUUUCUUGGUUUCACAGUAGGUAUCCACCUACUGCAAAUUCUUCUGAAUAGCUGGAGAACACUCCAUUUUAAAAAUAUAAGAAGUAAUUAUUGAUGAUUGUUUUUAAAAUGCAGCUAUACUUCCAAGUCUUAGUUAAAUUACUGUAUUUUAAGGGAUCCUGGAUGUUUUCUUUAAGCAUGUUAAAUAAAAUCUGAAAACUGAAGGAGUAUAGCCGUGAAAUCUCUCCUCUCUCUCUCUUUCUCUUUCUUUCAUCAACACACAACCCCCCCCCCACACACACACACACACGCAGAGGUAGGAAAGAGAAUGGCAUCAUUUCCAUUUUACAAAUAAGAAAGUUGGACUCAAGGCGAUUGAAUAGUUCAAAGCUGCAGAGUUAACAAAUGGUGAAGCCUAGAU